UAGGGAAUCUUCCACAAUGGACGCAAGUCUGAUGGAGCAACGCCGCGUGAGUGAAGAAGGUUUUCGGACCGUAAAGCUCUGUUGUUGGUGAAGAAGGAUAGAGGUAGUAACUGGCCUUUAUUUGACGGUAAUCAACCAGAAAGUCACGGCUAACUACGUGCCAGCAGCCGCGGUAAUCGUAGGUGGCAAGCGUUGUCCGGAUUUAUUGGGCGUAAAGCGAGCGCAGGCGGAAGAAUAAGUCUGAUGUGAAAGCCCUCGGCUUAACCGAGGAAUUGCAUCGGAAACUGUUUUCUGAGUGCAGAAGAGGAGAGUAGAACUCCAUGUGUAGCGGUGGAAUGCGUAGAUAUAUGGAAGAAUACCAGUGGCGAAGGCGGCUCUCUGGUCUGCAACUGACGCUGAGGCUCGAAAGCAUGGGUAGCGAACAGGAUUAGAUACCCUUGGUAGUCCAUGCCGUAAACGAUGAGUGCUAAGUGUUGGGAGGCUUCCGCCUCUCAGUGCUGCAGCUAACGCAUUAAGCACUCCGCCUGGGGGAGUACGACCGCAAGGUUGAA
rnacentral:rRNA from 1 species